UGGGGAAUUUUGGACAAUGGGCGAAAGCCUGAUCCAGCAAUGCCGCGUGUGUGAAGAAGGCCUUCGGGUUGUAAAGCACUUUUGUCCGGAAAGAAAUCCUUGGCUCUAAUACAGUCGGGGGAUGACGGUACCGGAAGAAUAAGCACCGGCUAACUACGUGCCAGCAGCCGCGGUAAUACGUAGGGUGCAAGCGUUAAUCGGAAUUACUGGGCGUAAAGCGUGCGCAGGCGGUUUGCUAAGACCGAUGUGAAAUCCCCGGGCUCAACCUGGGAACUGCAUUGGUGACUGGCAGGCUAGAGUAUGGCAGAGGGGGGUAGAAUUCCACGUGUAGCAGUGAAAUGCGUAGAGAUGUGGAGGAAUACCGAUGGCGAAGGCAGCCCCUGGGCCAAGUACUGACGCUCAUGCACGAAAGCGUGGGGAGCAAACAGGAUUAGAUACCCUGGUAGUCCACGCCCUAAACGAUGUCAACUAGUUGUUGGGGAUUCAUUUCCUUAGUAACGUAGCUAACGCGUGAAGUUGACCGCCUGGGGAGUACGGUCGCAAGAUUAAAACUCAAAUGAAUUGACGGGGUCAUA
rnacentral:rRNA from 1 species